UAUGCAUCUCGCACACUGAAAUUCAUUAAGCAAGAAUAGGAGUCUGACUCCAAAAUUUCUUUGUGUUCAGUGUUAAGUGCAACUGCUGUAUAUAAGUAGAACAGAAAAGCAGAGCAAACAAAGUUAAAGUACAACAUUUGAACAAGAAAUUCAAUUUAAUUACCAAUUAUAGCAAUUGGCAUGGGUUGGACCUGGUUGAGGGUGGCAUCAGAAGGUGACCUUUGGUAAAUGACAACGUCAGGUAAUGAGGCUGCCAAAUUAUUGGCACAGAGGAGCAACAUGAGGCCCACAAGCAGCUGAUGGUGGUGAGAUUGGCACACGAAGAGCCUGGCACUCGGGGCUGAUGCUGAACUGGGUAUUUGCCACCCCAGCCAGGGGAAAGCUAGAGAUCACUGCAUCAGAACGACCACAAGCACAAACACUAUUGUUAAAAAAUAGUGAGCAUUCAGUAUAUAUGUUCUUUGAAGAGGACAUACAGGCUGGCAUUCUUGUAGACAUUACUAUUGAACUUGGUAACAGAAAUAACCAUGGAUUUUGUGACCAUAUUUUUACUGAGAAUAUUUUCAUUUUCACAGAACUAAGAAAGGGUCCACUAGCACUCAAUCUAAGUGUUAAUACCACUAUUGGCAGGCAAAUAAAGUCAUUUUUAAAUUA